rnacentral:lncRNA from 1 species
GAGAGAUGUUGUUCUUGCCAAAUGAGUUCAAAUGACCUCUAUUUAUAGAGUUUAGAGGUGAUAUGUCCGUUGCUCAAUAGUUAAACAAUAAAUCUGAUAUUCCAACAGAAUAAUCGAUUAUUGUAUUUACAUAAUCGAUUAUGUGACUUUAACGUUCAAAGAACUAGUCGUUGGAAGGCAACAGAUAUGAGAUAAUCGAUUAUUGAAAUAUGAUAAUCGAUUAUCUUACUUCUCUGGAAUUUCCAGCAAAGCUGGAAUUUUCCCAGAAUAAUCGAUUAUU